rnacentral:rRNA from 1 species
AUGCACGCUGCCAGACUGCUUCACACAUGCAAGUCACCUUGAACUUCGGUUUGGGUGGCGGACGGGUGAGUAACGCGUAAAGAACUUGCCUCACAGUUAGGGACAACAUUUGGAAACGAAUGCUAAUACCUGAUAUUAUGAUUUUAGGGCAUCCUAGAAUUAUGAAAGCUAUAUGCGCUGUGAGAGAGCUUUGCGUCCCAUUAGCUAGUUGGAGAGGUAACGGCUCACCAAGGCGAUGAUGGGUAGCCGGCCUGAGAGGGUGAACGGCCACAAGGGGACUGAGACACGGCCCUUACUCCUACGGGAGGCAGCAGUGGGGAAUAUUGGACAAUGGACCAAGAGUCUGAUCCAGCAAUUCUGUGUGCACGAUGAAGUUUUUCGGAAUGUAAAGUGCUUUCAGUUGGGAAGAAAAAAAUGACGGUACCAACAGAAGAAGUGACGGCUAAAUACGUG